UACGUAGGGUGCAAGCGUUGCCCGGAUUUAUUGGGCGUAAAGGGCGCGCAGGCGGCUACGCACGUCCGUUGUGAAAUCGCUCGGCUCAACUAGGCGGGGUCAGCGGAUACGGCGUAGCUGGAGCAAGCUAGGGGGCAAUGGAAUUCCCGGUGUAGUGGUGGAAUGCGUAGAUAUCGGGAAGAACACCGGUGGCGAAGGCGGCUCGCUGGGCCGUUGCUGACGCUGAGGCACGAAGGUCAGGGGAGCAAACGGG
rnacentral:rRNA from 1 species